AUUGAGGAGAACCUUCGGGGAUGGUGCAAGCUGGAAUAAAUCUCCCACAACUCUGUCACCCCAUAUGUCUUGGCAUUGUGAAGGGCCAGGGCAACCUUUGAGGAUCAAUAUAAAUAGCAGCAACAUAAGAGCACCUAGCACCUGCUGCAAACUUCAAGCAAGAGCUAGUACACAAAGCUUCAGUUAACAAAAGGAAUCUAGAUAUAGCAUUCAAGAGAUGCCAAGCUCAACCAAUUUUCUUAUGGAACUGCAAAUUUAUUCAGUAGGUCUUCACCGCCCUUCACAUACUUGAAUCUAGGCGCUCACUGACAAUGGGAAUUUGCUGGGGCGCCCCUCAUUAUCUGACCCCUAGCUUCCCUGGAUAUCUAGGACCAGGACAUAAAUCACUCGUGUAUAGCAGCACAUCAUCUUCCUAUGAUGGGGAAACAAGGAGCUUGGGAGGAAUAUCCGUUGAAAGUGUGCUAACUGGCAGAUCGUGCCCACUCCCGAUGUUAGGGUCUUCACCUUGGCUGAACUGCAGGAAGUCACUAGAAACUUUUGGCCCGAUUUGCUCCUAGGAGGAGGAGGAGGCUUCGGUCGAGUCUUCAAAGGCUACCUCAGUGGGGAGGGGUCCUCCCAUGGCCAAGGCAGGCUACCAAUUGCCUGUCAUACUUACAUCAGUUAGAAGACCAAAUUAUUUGCAGGGACUUCAAGCCAUUGAAUAUAUUGCUAGACAGAGUAAGGUCUAUUUGAUUAGCAACCAACUUCUGUAGGCGAAUAGUAGCAGAAUGCUGCUAUUUUUCUUGUAUCUGUGAUAUAUUAGCAAAGUCUGUACUGUGCUGUGGGUACUUGCAUUUGCUUGAUUUCUCUAUUGAUUUUCCUUUCGACUAAAUAUGUAUUUGAUCCCGAUAAGAUUUUUGAAAUUUUGAAAUCCCUCAUUCUCGUGAA